ACGUAGGGAGCGAGCGUUAUCCGGAAUUACUGGGCGUAAAGGGCGCGUAGGCGGAAUGACAAGUCAGCAAGUGAAAGCGUGGGGCUCAACCCCAUGAUGCGGCUGAAACUGUUAUUCUAGAGGCAUGGAGAGGCAAACGGAAUUCCCGGUGUAGCGGUGAAAUGCGUAGAUAUCGGGAAGAACACCAGUGGCGAAGGCGGUUUGCUGGCCAUGAACUGACGCUCAUAGCGCGAAAGCUAGGGUAGCAAACGG
rnacentral:rRNA from 1 species